rnacentral:rRNA from 1 species
GGCGAACGGGUGAGUAACACGUGGGCAAUCUGCCCUUCACUCUGGGACAAGCCCUGGAAACGGGGUCUAAUACCGGAUAUCACUCUCGCAGGCAUCUGUGAGGGUCGAAAGCUCCGGCGGUGAAGGAUGAGCCCGCGGCCUAUCAGCUUGUUGGUGAGGUAAUGGCUCACCAAGGCGACGACGGGUAGCCGGCCUGAGAGGGCGACCGGCCACACUGGGACUGAGACACGGCCCAGACUCCUACGGGAGGCAGCAGUGGGGAAUAUUGCACAAUGGGCGAAAGCCUGAUGCAGCGACGCCGCGUGAGGGAUGACGGCCUUCGGGUUGUAAACCUCUUUCAGCAGGGAAGAAGCGAAAGUGACGGUACCUGCAGAAGAAGCGCCGGCUAACUACGUGCCAGCAGCCGCGGUAAUACGUAGGGCGCAAGCGUUGUCCGGAAUUAUUGGGCGUAAAGAGCUCGUAGGCGGUCUGUCACGUCGGAUGUGAAAGCCCGGGGCUUAACCCCGGGUCUGCAUUCGAUACGGGCAGACUAGAGUGUGGUAGGGGAGAUCGGAAUUCCUGGUGUAGCGGUGAAAUGCGCAGAUAUCAGGAGGAACACCGGUGGCGAAGGCGGAUCUCUGGGCCAUUACUGACGCUGAGGAGCGAAAGCGUGGGGAGCGAACAGGAUUAGAUACCCUGGUAGUCCACGCCGUAAACGGUGGGAACUAGGUGUUGGCGACAUUCCACGUCGUCGGUGCCGCAGCUAACGCAUUAAGUUCCCCGCCUGGGGAGUACGGCCGCAAGGCUAAAACUCAAAGGAAUUGACGGGGGCCCGCACAAGCAGCGGAGCAUGUGGCUUAAUUCGACGCAACGCGAAGAACCUUACCAAGGCUUGACAUACACCGGAAACGUCUGGAGACAGGCGCCCCCUUGUGGUCGGUGUACAGGUGGUGCAUGGCUG